ensembl:lncRNA novel transcript, antisense to NFYA
AGAGGCGGCGUCGCAUGCCGCUCGCCGGUCACCAUGGCUGCCCGCCUAGGUACCGGAAACAGGGCCCAGCCGCGUAGCAGCCAAUCCGCCUAGCAGGCUCUAUUGGAGGCCUGCCGCCGAUCAAUCCGCGCAGGCUUCCUUGGGACAACGCCAAUCGGAAGCGACUUCAGUCGCCGCCCCACCACCUUCCCACAUUCUUAGCGGGGCCUACUUCCCCGGGGAGAAGGGGCUGGAGGUGCGGCGGUCUGCGCUUUCAAAGGAGCAAAGCUGUCUUUUCUACUGGAAACGGGGGAGGCGAAGACGCUCCUACGAUAAAGCCGUUGGUGUGAGAUAAAUAUCGAGAGGUCUUUCCCUCAUACCACAGAGUAGAAUCUUGGGUCAUCUCUGAAUUUGGCAUUCUCAAAGAAACAUGCUAGUCAAAUCCAAUUCUCAGAAAGUUGAUACGGGGUCUCUAUAUGACUUGGCAUGAAAUAUUAGGAAACUGGCAUCUUAUAAGCCUCAAAGACAAGUUAGCAGCAUCAAAGACAUGCAACUGACUUUGCCAUUCCUACUGGAGAUCCUAACACAAACAGCACCAGACAUGAGGAGAGGAGAAGUUCAUGCAGUGCUCACAGAGAAUCAGAGAGGGUACCACUACCUGGAGGGUCUGGACUUGCUGGCCUGAGGCGGAUGCCACCUGGGCCUCAGUCUGCAACUGCACAGCAGUGACACCACCCUGCUGCUGAGAACAGGAACAGGAAGAGCUUGAAAUAUGUCAGGAAGGAAAUGUGUAGUUCAAGACACAGAUCACCUUACCUCUUGGAGGAGAGAGACGGAAGCCUGAAGGACUUUCAAAAUGUACAGACUCCCUAUAUUGAAGCUGUUUUGUUGAAGGUAGUAGGAUUAAAGAUAUUAGCCCUUUGUCUCCA